rnacentral:lncRNA from 1 species
AAAAAUCUGAUCUAAAGCUCUAAGUUGGAACCUUUGUUUCAUACCUGAGCCACUUGAUCUAGAUUAGCAUUCGAGGACCCUUCCCUAUGGUCAACACGAAGUCCACAGGUUACUUUGGGAGGGGAAAAGAGAGAAGAAUAAAGUCUAGGAAUAAAUCUGAAGAUGUUAGUUAAUUAAGACAACUGUCUCCGCUUGUAUAAUAAUCUUAAUUUUUAUGGUCGUGUGGUUGUAUCCUUAUCAAAUAAAUAAAUGGAAUUAUGACUUUUGU